rnacentral:rRNA from 1 species
CAAUAGCGUAUAUUAAAGUUGUUGCAGUUAAAAAGCUCGUAGUUGAAUUUCUGUCAGGAGUGACCGGGCCUUUGGAUGAACUUCCAUUGUUUUUUGCUCUGUUUGUCAUCUCUAGACAUCCUAAAUUACAUUUCUUGUAAUUUUCUUUUACUGUUAGCAAAAUAGAGUGUUCCAAGCAAAGCGUAGUUUUGAAUACAUUAGAAUGGAAUAAUAAGAUAGGACUUUGGUGCUAUUUUGUUGGUUUGCACACCAAGGUAAUGAUUAAUAGGGACAGUUGGGGGUAUUCGUAUUUAAUUGUCAGAGGUGAAAUUCUUGGAUUUAUGAAAGACGAACUACUGCGAAAGCAUUUACCAAGGAUGUUUNCAUUA